UUCACAAGUGCGUGAAACUGUACACUGUAAAGCGAAUGAUUGAGCGAUUAGAAUGUCGAUCACUCAGGUGUCAUGUAUGUUUCAAAGGUUUGCUGAAUCUUUGCUUGAAUUGUCAUGUGCCUGAUACUGUACUUGAUUGUGUCUGGAAUUGCUUGGUGGGCUACCGCUAACAUACCGAUCUGACGGAAAAGAGUCUCUUUUUGAGUCUCUUAUAGAAUAUUGCUUUUGAACUGUUUUAUGCAUUCGGUAAUGCUUGCCCACUUCUGAAAUAUGCCUGUAACUGUGUACACCGUAUGUGGUGCAACUAUCGUAAAGUGAAAUUGUGCAUGUGUUGUCAGUAUGUUAAAAGGUUCGUGAGAAGCAAUUGUCAUUUGCUGUGAAUCAGUCUAAACCGUCUUGAAACACGGACUAAGGAGUUCAACUCGAACGCAAGUCGUUUUCUGAAACGAAAUUUAAAGGCAAAGUGAAAACAACUCUUGAUGAGAUGUUAACUGAUGCGUACGCGCUGAUGAUAAGCACAAGUGAUGAGUAGCACAGUUGUAAUUGUUGCUGACUGCACCUGAGCG
rnacentral:rRNA from 1 species